GGCUUUUUGAUAAUAAUUUAAGGUCUGACCUGCCCAAUGAUUUAAAUAUUUAAUGGCCGCGGUAUAUUGACCGUGCAAAGGUAGCAUAAUCAUUAGUUUUUUAAUUGAAAGCUUGUAUGAAAGGUUUGAUGAAAAAAUAACUGUCUUUAUUUAAGUUUGUUAGAAAUUUAUUUUUAAGUUAAAAAGCUUAAAUAUUUAUUAAAGACGAGAAGACCCUAUAGAGUUUUAUAUUUCUGUAUAAUUAUUAUAUUUAGGAUUUUUUAAUAGUUUUAAUAGGAUUAUUUGGUUGGGGUGAUUAAAAAAUUAAUUAAACUUUUUUAUUUUGAUUUACAUUGAUUUAUGGAUUUUUGAUCUUUAUAAAAGAUUAAUAGAUAAAAUUACCUUAGGGAUAACAGCGUAAUUUUUUUUAGAGUUCUUAUCGAAAAAAAAGAUUGCGACCUCGAUGUUGGAUUAAAAUUAAUUAUUGGUGUAGAAGCUAAUAAAUUAGGUCUGUUCGACCUUUAAAUUUUUACAUGAUCUGAGUUUAAACCGGUGUAAG
rnacentral:rRNA from 1 species